rnacentral:rRNA from 1 species
AUGAACGCUAGCUACAGGCUUAACACAUGCAAGUCGAGGGGCAGCAUGGUCUUAGCUUGCUAAGGCCGAUGGCGACCGGCGCACGGGUGAGUAACACGUAUCCAACCUGCCGUCUACUCUUGGACAGCCUUCUGAAAUGAAGAUUAAUACAAGAUGGCAUCAUGAGUCCGCAUGUUCACAUGAUUAAAGGUAUUCCGGUAGACGAUGGGGAUGCGUUCCAUUAGAUAGUAGGCGGGGUAACGGCCCACCUAGUCUUCGAUGGAUAGGGGUUCUGAGAGGAAGGUCCCCCACAUUGGAACUGAGACACGGUCCAAACUCCUACGGGAGGCAGCAGUGAGGAAUAUUGGUCAAUGGGCGAGAGCCUGAACCAGCCAAGUAGCGUGAAGGAUGACUGCCCUAUGGGUUGUAAACUUCUUUUAUAAAGGAAUAAAGUCGGGUAUGGAUACCCGUUUGCAUGUACUUUAUGAAUAAGGAUCGGCUAACUCCGUGCCAGCAGCCGCGGUAAUACGGAGGAUCCGAGCGUUAUCCGGAUUUAUUGGGUUUAAAGGGAGCGUAGAUGGAUGUUUAAGUCAGUUGUGAAAGUUUGCGGCUCAACCGUAAAAUUGCAGUUGAUACUGGAUAUCUUGAGUGCAGUUGAGGCAGGCGGAAUUCGUGGUGUAGCGGUGAAAUGCUUAGAUAUCACGAAGAACUCCGAUUGCGAAGGCAGCCUGCUAAGCUGCAACUGACAUUGAGGCUCGAAAGUGUGGGUAUCAAACAGGAUUAGAUACCCUGGUAGUCCACACGGUAAACGAUGAAUACUCGCUGUUUGCGAUAUACUGCAAGCGGCCAAGCGAAAGCGUUAAGUAUUCCACCUGGGGAGUACGCCGGCAACGGUGAAACUCAAAGGAAUUGACGGGGGCCCGCACAAGCGGAGGAACAUGUGGUUUAAUUCGAUGAUACGCGAGGAACCUUACCCGGGCUUAAAUUGCAGAUGAAUUACGGUGAAAGCCGUAAGCCGCAAGGCAUCUGUGAAGGUGCUGCAUGGUUGUCGUCAGCUCGUGCCGUGAGGUGUCGGCUUAAGUGCCAUAACGAGCGCAACCCUUGUUGUCAGUUACUAACAGGUUCCGCUGAGGACUCUGACAAGACUGCCAUCGUAAGAUGUGAGGAAGGUGGGGAUGACGUCAAAUCAGCACGGCCCUUACGUCCGGGGCUACACACGUGUUACAAUGGGGGGUACAGAGGGCCGCUACCACGCGAGUGGAUGCCAAUCCCAAAAACCUCUCUCAGUUCGGACUGGAGUCUGCAACCCGACUCCACGAAGCUGGAUUCGCUAGUAAUCGCGCAUCAGCCACGGCGCGGUGAAUACGUUCCCGGGCCUUGUACACACCGCCCGUCAAGCCAUGGGAGCCGGGGGUACCUGAAGUGCGUAACCGCGAGGAGCGCCCUAGGGUAAAACUGGUGACUGGGGCU